UGUCUUGUAAUUGGAAUGAUGGGAAUUUAAACCUCUUCCAGAGUAUCAAUUGGAGGGCAAGUCUGGUGCCAGCAGCCGCGGUAAUUCCAGCUCCAAUAGCGUAUAUUAAAAUUGUUGCAGUUAAAAAGCUCGUAGUUGAAUUUCUGCUGUAUUGCAUUUUCUCUUUUUAUAUGAGUUUUUGCAUUAUGGCUUAUUUCAGUAUUAAUUUUUUAUUAUUACUGAAUGUUUACUUUGAGAAAAUUAGAGUGCUCAAAGCAGGCUUUUGCCUUGAAUAGUUUAGCAUGGAAUAAUAGAGUAGGACUUUGGUUCUAUUUUGCUGGUUUUAGGUACCAAAGUAAUGGUUAAUAGGGACAGU
rnacentral:rRNA from 1 species